rnacentral:rRNA from 1 species
UACAGAGGGUGCAAGCGUUGUUCGGAAUUAUUGGGCGUAAAGGGCGUGUAGGCGGUCUGCUAAGUCAUGUGUGAAAUCCCUCGGCUUAACCGAGGAACGACGCAUGAAACUGGCAAGCUAGAGUACCAAAGAGGGGGGUGGAAUUCCCGGUGUAGCGGUGAAAUGCGUAGAUAUCUGGAGGAACACCGGUGGCGAAGGCGGCAUCCUGGACCGGUAUUGACGCUGAGGCGCGAAAGCCAGGGGAGCAAACGGG